UUGGAGCUGGGUGUGCUCGCUUUCAAUCACGGCCCUCUGGAGGCAGAGACAGACAGUCGGGGGUCUCUGUGACGUCCACAAAGUCCAUUCCCGGGCAACCCGGUAUACCAAGAGACCUUGUCUCAAAAACUGAAGUAAAACAUAAAAGAAUGGAGAUGAGAUGCUGGAAUUUAAUUUUCAGUUGCUAAUAUGGAUACCCUCCUCCGUUUCUUCAUAGCAGCGACAUCCACGAAUAUUUACAGUAGAGAAACUGUCCAUCGACUCUUAAGAAAAAUCUAGCGCACAUACUGCCUUCCCAGUAAACUACAUCCGCUGCCUAAGACCGAGCACAUUGGAUGCGCCACAGGUUAGAGGGUGGACCAACACGUCGUGAAUUGGUGGGGUCAAGACUUCAGAACGCCAGGGAUUGUGACUCAGCACAGUUCGAGGCUAAAGCCCUCCAAGAAGGCCAACAAUGACCAGCGAAGGUUUCCGUCGCUGUGGAAGGAAGGAGAAGGGAGAGGGAGAAGAGAUGUGUACAGGCAUUGCGUCAGACAGCCCCAGGGUCCUCACGGCGGGAUGGACUCAAGGUCACACGGGAUAAAUUACGGACAGAUUACAGUCUACUUGCGUCAGUUGCGCAGGAGGAGGUGCUUCCUGCGCCUGCGUGGUCGGCCCCGGACAGAGGUCCUGGUGCGCAUGUGUGAGGGGCGUGGAGGAAACGGGUUAAGACUUUAACUGUAGCGCGGAUUGGAUACUCCAGUGCAAGCGGAUUUGCGGGCGAGGACCGAGGGCGCGAGCUCGCGCACUCACGGGGAGGCGCGUGGGAGUUCUUUUCCUGAGGCCGCUAGUUGCUGCGGGCGCCAUCUUGUCCCGAGGCGUUCUUGAGGGGACCUUUGUUCUCGCUCACCGUUUAUUCACAGCUCGAAGCAUGCACGCCUGAAUGUGCGCGGUCUUAACCAAGUUUGUGCAACGCAUUGCUUCAAUCGGGAUAGGUCCCCAAACUCUAGGGCAGCACCUGAUUCAUGAAGUUUUGAAUCACUUUUUACCUUGUCUUGGGAACGAUGUGCUCUAAUUGACCAACGGUUUGCUGGG